AGAAUUCCAUCCAGGAAGGAACAUUACAUUCAGUAGGGUGCUCCAGGCUCAUCCUGUGUAUUUCCUGCCCCAGCCCUAGAAUCAAUCAUUUCUCCAAGAAGCCCUGGUUCUUUUUACUGGAGCUGACUGGAAACCUGAGAGUGACAUUCCCAAGGAAGAGCCUACUGACACUGCUGCUACUCCUUCUGCUGAAGGCAUCUCCAAAAGAAAGGAAAAUGGCAUUUCUCUUCCUUUUGCUUUCCAAAAAUCUGAGCCUAACUAACAAGGGAAAUACGAUUUUCAGGCUAUGGCUCCUAUAAUUCACAAGGGAGUGUUGAAAGGCAAGAAGGAGUUAUGGCAAGAGAAGAUUGCCAAAAGAUAUGCGAUAUGAUAGGCACCGCUUUAAGUCUUUUAAGAUGAUGGAUAGUGAUAGAUAGAUAGAUAGAUAGAUAGAUAUUUUUAACUUUUUUAAUGUUUAUUUAUUUUUUAGAGAGAUGGACAGAGGAUGAGCGGG